UAGGGAAUCUUCGGCAAUGGACGAAAGUCUGACCGAGCAACGCCGCGUGAGUGAAGAAGGUUUUCGGAUCGUAAAACUCUGUUGUUAGAGAAGAACAAGGGUGAGAGUAACUGUUCACCCCUUGACGGUAUCUAACCAGAAAGCCACGGCUAACUACGUGCAAG
rnacentral:rRNA from 1 species